rnacentral:rRNA from 1 species
CCUACGGGGGGCAGCAGUGGGGGAUAUUGCACAAUGGGGGAAACCCUGAUGCAGCGACGCCGCGUGGGUGAAGAAGUAUUUCGGUAUGUAAAGCCCUAUCAGCAGGGAAGAAAGAAGACGGUACCUGACUAAGAAGCCCCGGCUAACUACGUGCCAGCAGCCGCGGUAAUACGUAGGGGGCGAGCGUUAUCCGGAUUCACUGGGUGUAAAGGGAUCGUAGACGGCCGUGCAAGCCAGGAGUGAAAGCCCGGGGCCCAACCCCGGGACUGCUGUUGGAACUGUGCGGCUGGAGUGCGGGAGGGGCAUGCGGAAUUCGUGGUGUAGCGGUGAAAUGCGUAGAUAUCAGGAGGAACACCGGCGGCGAAGGCGGCCUGCUGGACCGCGACUGACGUUGAGGCUCGAAAGCGUGGGGAGCGAACAGGAUUAGAUACCCGAGUAGUC